GUCGUAGGGCUUCUCCCUGUUGGCAGAUGAUAAUGGCUUAGUUCUUUCCUGAUCGAGUGCCUUUAAUUAUCUGCCAAAGGAGAGUUGCCCUAUGACUA
rnacentral:pre_miRNA from 1 species